rnacentral:rRNA from 1 species
ACUCCGGGGAUAACAGGCUGAUACCGCCCAAGAGUUCAUAUCGACGGCGGUGUUUGGCACCUCGAUGUCGGCUCAUCACAUCCUGGGGCUGAAGUAGGUCCCAAGGGUAUGGCUGUUCGCCAUUUAAAGUGGUACGCGAGCUGGGUUUAGAACGUCGUGAGACAGUUCGGUCCCUAUCUGCCGUGGGCGCUGGAGAACUGAGGGGGGCUGCUCCUAGUACGAGAGGACCGGAGUGGACGCAUCACUGGUGUUCGGGUUGUCAUGCCAAUGGCACUGCCCGGUAGCUAAAUGCGGAAGAGAUAAGUGCUGAAAGCAUCUAAGCACGAAACUUGCCCCGAGAUGAGUUCUCCCUGACUCCUUGAGAGUCCUGAAGGAACGUUGAAGACGACGACGUUGAUAGGCCGGGUGUGUAAGCGCAGCGAUGCGUUGAGCUAACCGGUACUAAUGAACCGUGAGG